CACUGCUAUAAAGAACUACCUGAGACUGGGUAAUUCAUGAAGAAAAAAGGUUUAAUUGACUCACAGUUCCACAGGCUUAACAGGAAGCAUGACUGUGAGGCCUCAGGAAACUUAAAAUCAUGGCAGAAGGUGGAAGAGAUGCAAGGACCUUCUUCACAGUGGCAGCAGGAGAGAGACACAGAGAGAGAGAGAGCACAAAGGGGAAUAUCGAGAGGACAUUCAAAUAGAGAGGAAUUGUUACCUUACCCCUCAUGCAAGCCUGAA
rnacentral:lncRNA from 10 species